rnacentral:lncRNA from 1 species
AUGUUUAUCAACUUUGCAGUCGGUAUUAACUCCAAAAAUGAUGAUUCCAUUUCCAUCUGGUUUAAUAGACACUCCACCUCAAAUGACAUACAUCAUCAAAUGAAGCAGCUGACCACAUCAUGGUAUCACCAUUUAUUUAGUAGGUUUGCAAUUGAACUUGAGGAGCAUCACCUUAGAAAUGUGAACGGAACCAGAUACAUUCCAACCCAAAACAGAAGGGAAGUGAUACAGGACGCUUGGUUAACAGAACAUGUUGCAUGGACUGAGACCCUGCUCACUUUCCUGCCCUCUGGGAACAGUCACUGCUCCUGGGAACUCUACCCCUACCCUGAUUUCAUUGUAGCUGAUGAGAAAGAAGAACAAAUGGAAACUAAAACAAAUCAGAUUAUGCUCCAGGAGACAAAGAAACUUGCAACCGUAAGUAGCAUCUUCGAAGGAUCGUUCUAA